UUUUACAGUGACUUGCCCAUCAGUUUUUUGAGAUUUUCCAAAAGAUAAUUAAUAUUUUUAUACGACUUCACCUACAUUACUGUUUAUGUUUUAGCUCUUAGCAAUUGGACUAGAUCCCAAUCCUGCAACUGAUACUGAAUUGGAAGAAAUAAAUGUAUGAAAUUAACUGCAGAAUACAAGUUCAGGUUAUUACCUUAGGAUGCACAUGAUAAAAAUUUGCUUUUGGCACAGUAAGCCCCAUGUGUACUGCUUUUGCUUUUUGUUUCUUUUUGUUAUUUAUGACAAAUUUUAGUUAUUUUUCCAUCUUUUAAAAUGAAACGAGACAACUUCUCAGGAACUUGAAUCCUGCAUCUGUGGGUUUUAGAAGCAUUUUAAAAGGUUUUUUUUAUUUUUAAGGUCCUUGCUGAAUCAUACUUCAAACUCUCAGCAUCUGGUAGCAUCAAAGUCUAGCUCAUUCCUAGCAAAAUUUCAUCUCCAACAAGAGCUGCUUGUAACUGAUCAGCAUUUUUCUAGUAUAUACACCAGAUAUUUCCUCAGCACACUGCCUGGAGAAGAAAAUGGGAAUUUAAAAAUGGAACCUUCCAUUUUAGAGAAUUGAUAUAGACCACACAGUCAACUUAGGGUUUGAAAGCUGCAGAUAAAUGAUUCAGUCUGGGGGUCAACAGGUACCCAAAGAUACUGCAGGAUGGUCAACCUUCCCACACCUGAGAAUAAAUUCUGGCUCCACAAAAGCAAGGAAUGAAGACUGUAUCCCCAAAGGACUACCUGACAUUUGCAUACCCUAAAAGCAGGUGUGCAAAAAAUUUUGCACUUUGCAACCUAACAUGCACUAUUUUGGAAGUGACAGCAGUGAUAUGACUAUAAUUUCUACCAGGAGGCUCACAGUUCAUACCCCUUGGAAGCUCACUAGAGUUAGAGGGCUCACAUCCUGGAAAAUGUAA